rnacentral:rRNA from 1 species
GAUGAACGCUGGCGGCGUGCCUAAUACAUGCAAGUCGAGCGAACGGACGAGAAGCUUGCUUCUCUGAUGUUAGCGGCGGACGGGUGAGUAACACGUGGAUAACCUACCUAUAAGACUGGGAUAACUUCGGGAAACCGGAGCUAAUACCGGAUAAUAUUUUGAACCGCAUGGUUCAAAAGUGAAAGACGGUCUUGCUGUCACUUAUAGAUGGAUCCGCGCUGCAUUAGCUAGUUGGUAAGGUAACGGCUUACCAAGGCAACGAUGCAUAGCCGACCUGAGAGGGUGAUCGGCCACACUGGAACUGAGACACGGUCCAGACUCCUACGGGAGGCAGCAGUAGGGAAUCUUCCGCAAUGGGCGAAAGCCUGACGGAGCAACGCCGCGUGAGUGAUGAAGGUCUUCGGAUCGUAAAACUCUGUUAUUAGGGAAGAACAUAUGUGUAAGUAACUGUGCACAUCUUGACGGUACCUAAUCAGAAAGCCACGGCUAACUACGUGGCAGCAGCCGCGGUAAUACGUAGGUGGCAAGCGUUAUCCCGAAUUAUUGGGCGUAAAGCGCGCGUAGGCGGUUUUUUAGUCUGAUGUGAAAGCCCACGGCUCAACCGUGGAGGGUCAUUGGAAACUGGAAAACUUGAGUGCAGAAGAGGAAAGUGGAAUUCCAUGUGUAGCGGUGAAAUGCGCAGAGAUAUGGAGGAACACCAGUGGCGAAGGCGACUUUCUGGUCUGUAACUGACGCUGAUGUGCGAAAGCGUGGGGAUCAAACAGGAUUAGAUACCCUGGUAGUCCACGCCGUAAACGAUGAGUGCUAAGUGUUAGGGGGUUUCCGCCCCUUAGUGCUGCAGCUAACGCAUUAAGCACUCCGCCUGGGGAGUACGACCGCAAGGUUGAAACUCAAAGGAAUUGACGGGGACCCGCACAAGCGGUGGAGCAUGUGGUUUAAUUCGAAGCAACGCGAAGAACCUUACCAAAUCUUGACAUCCUUUGACAACUCUAGAGAUAGAGCCUUCCCCUUCGGGGGACAAAGUGACAGGUGGUGCAUGGUUGUCGUCAGCUCGUGUCGUGAGAUGUUGGGUUAAGUCCCGCAACGAGCGCAACCCUUAAGCUUAGUUGCCAUCAUUAAGUUGGGCACUCUAAGUUGACUGCCGGUGACAAACCGGAGGAAGGUGGGGAUGACGUCAAAUCAUCAUGCCCCUUAUGAUUUGGGCUACACACGUGCUACAAUGGACAAUACAAAGGGCAGCGAAACCGCGAGGUCAAGCAAAUCCCAUGAAGUUGUUCUCAGUUCGGAUUGUAGUCUGCAACUCGACUACAUGAAGCUGGAAUCGCUAGUAAUCGUAGAUCAGCAUGCUACGGUGAAUACGUUCCCGGGUCU